GGAUGUGAGGGCGAUCUGGCUGUGACAUUGAUCGCCAGUGUUGAUUUGGCUGAUCUGGCUGCCUAGGUGGGUGUCCCUUGCUGCUCCAUGUGCGUCCCACCCGAAGCUGCACGCUCGGUCAAAGAGGACGACCUUCCCCAAUAGAGCCGUGUACCCUGACAGAGGCGUGUACCGUUCAUCAGUCAAGGGUACACGGUAGCUGCGGUCCCCUGCUAGAACCUCCAAACAAGCUCAAGGUCUAUUCGUAGGAGAACAUAGGGUAGUCAAGCUUCCCAGACUGCAGACACAUCCAACUGAGGCGCCACAUGGAGCAGUCUGCAGUAAAUU
rnacentral:snRNA from 1 species